rnacentral:rRNA from 1 species
CCUACGGGAGGCAGCAGUGAGGAAUAUUGGUCAAUGGGCGCGAGCCUGAACCAGCCAAGCCGCGUGAAGGAAGACGGCCCUAUGGGUUGUAAACUUCUUUUGUAGGAGAAUAAACUCAGGCACGUGUGCCUGUCUGAAAGUAUCGGACGAAUAAGCAUCGGCUAACUCCGUGCCAGCAGCCGCGGUAAUACGGAGGAUGCGAGCGUUAUCCGGAUUUAUUGGGUUUAAAGGGUGCGUAGGCGGGCGGGUAAGUUAGCGGUGAAAUUGCGGGGCUCAACCGCGGAAUUGCAUUUGAUACUGGUCGGCUUGAGUGUGGGUGAGGUAGGCGGAAUGCGUGGUGUAGCGGUGAAAUGCUUAGAGAUCACGCAGAACUCCGAUUGCGAAGGCAGCUUACCAAGCUACUACUGACGUUGAGGCACGAAAGCGUGGGGAGCAAACAGGAUUAGAUACCCCAGUAGUC